rnacentral:tRNA from 1 species
GUACCCAUAGCUCAGUUGGAUAGAGCACUAGGUUGCGGACCUAGCGGUCGGAGGUUCGAAUCCUCUUGGGUAUA